AGUCGAACGGAGUACUUCGGUACUUAGUGGCGGACGGGUGAGUAACGCGUGAGGAUCUGCCCUCAGGAGGGGGACAACGACUGGAAACGGUCGCUAAUACCCCAUAUGCCGAGAGGUGAAAUGUUUUUUCGCCUGAGGAUGAGCUCGCGUCAGAUUAGCUAGUUGGUGGGGUAACGGCCUACCAAGGCGACGAUCUGUAGCUGGUCUGAGAGGAUGAUCAGCCACACUGGGACUGAGACACGGCCCAGACUCCUACGGGAGGCAGCAGUGGGGAAUUUUCCGCAAUGGGCGAAAGCCUGACGGAGCAAGACCGCGUGAGGGAUGACGGCCUAAUGGUUGUAAACCUCUUUUCUCUGGGAAGAUAAUGACGGUACCAGAGGAAUAAGCCUCGGCUAACUCCGUGCCAGCAGCCGCGGUAAUACGGAGGAGGCAAGCGUUAUCCGGAAUUAUUGGGCGUAAAGCGUCCGUAGGUGGUUAAUCAAGUCAGCUGUUAAAGAGCGGAGCUUAACUCCGUUAGAGCGGUUGAAACUGAUUGACUAGAGUUUGGUAGGGGUCGAGGGAAUUCCCAGUGUAGCGGUGAAAUGCGUAGAUAUUGGGAAGAACACCGGUGGCGAAAGCGCUCGACUGGGCCUGAACUGACACUGAGGGACGAAAGCUAGGGGAGCGAAAGGGAUUAGAUACCCCUGUAGUCCUAGCCGUAAACGAUGGAUACUAGGUGUUGCUCGUUAUCGACCCGAGCCGUGCCGAAGCAAGGGC
rnacentral:rRNA from 1 species